rnacentral:rRNA from 1 species
AUACGGAGGAUGCGAGCGCUAUCCGGAUUUAUUGGGUUUAAAGGGUGCGUAGGCUGUGCGUUAAGUCAGGGGUGAAAUGCCGUCGCUCAACGACGGAGCUGCCCUUGAUACUGGCGUGCUGGAGUACGGAUGCCGUUGGAGGAAUGAGUGGUGUAGCGGUGAAAUGCUUAGAUAUCACUCAGAACACCGAUUGCGAAGGCAUCUGACGAAUCCGUCACUGACGCUGAGGCACGAAAGCGUGGGGAUCAAACAGGAUUAGAUACCCUGGUAGUCCACGCAGUAAACGAUGAUAACUAACUGCCGGCGAUAGAGUGUCGGUGGCCGAGCGAAAGCGAUAAGUUAUCCACCUGGGGAGUACGACCGCAAGGUUGAAACUCAAAGGAAUUGACGGGG